rnacentral:rRNA from 1 species
UACGGAGGGUGCGAGCGUUGUCCGGAAUCAUUGGGCGUAAAGGGCGCGUAGGUGGCGGGACAAGCGUGCGGUGAAAGCUCGGGGCUCAACCCCGAGUCGGCCGUCGAUACUCUCGUGCUUGAGCACUGUAGAGGCAGGUGGAAUUCCGGGUGUAGCGGUGGAAUGCGUAGAGAUCCGGAAGAACACCGGUGGCGAAGGCGGCCUGCUGGGCAGUAGCUGACGCUGAUGCGCGACAGCGUGGGGAGCAAACAGG